GUUAACCUAAUUGCUAUUCAUGUAAAACUUCUUACGGUGAUUUCUAAUUCGCUUGGUGCAGAUCGGGAACGGGUCUCUCCUGCAAUGGCGGCGAUACCUUUUUUAGUCAUUGCCGACCGUAGAGGGAUCAGCUCCUGCAUUGCAUCAACUGAAUCGGAAACCGCAGUAAAUUCGUCUAGAUCUUGAGCUGCUUGGAUUUCCAAAUCUAUUUCUGAUUUCUUUCUCGGAUUGAAGAAAUGGUGCAGGAAAAGGAACCUGCUCUUGCAUAUUCAAUUAAACUGAGUUGUCUUUGUUAGUUUAGUGGGUGUGAAAUAGUUUCAACCAUUUCGGGUGCUAGCCUCCUGUUUUCUUUUUGUAAAUUGCGGUUGAACUUUGUAUAUUG